rnacentral:rRNA from 1 species
AGUGAACGCUGGCGGUAGGCCUAACACAUGCAAGUCAACGGCAGCACAGUAAGAGCUUGCUCUUACGGGUGGCGAGUGGCGGACGGGUGAGGAAUACAUCGGAAUCUACUUUUUCGUGGGGGAUAACGAAGGGAAACUUACGCUAAUACCGCAUACGACCUACGGGUGAAAGCAGGGGAUCUUCGGACCUUGCGCGAUUGAAUGAGCCGAUGUCGGAUUAGCUAGUUGGCGGGGUAAAGGCCCACCAAGGCGACGAUCCGUAGCUGGUCUGAGAGGAUGAUCAGCCACACUGGAACUGAGACACGGUCCAGACUCCUACGGGAGGCAGCAGUGGGGAAUAUUGGACAAUGGGCGCAAGCCUGAUCCAGCCAUACCGCGUGGGUGAAGAAGGCCUUCGGGUUGUAAAGCCCUUUUGUUGGGAAAGAAAAGCAGCAGGUUAAUACCCCGCUGUUCUGACGGUACCCAAAGAAUAAGCACCGGCUAACUUCGUG